AAUUUUUGGUGCCUUUUUAGGCCCUUUUAUUAACUAAUCAAAAAAAUAAAAUAGUAAAGAGAAAAUUAUUCGCUACGUUAUUAUUAGAUCUAAAUAACAAAUUUUAGCAACAUCUCUAGAUAAUUGCAUUAAUAGCAAAAAUCUGAGGUGAAUUGUUGUGAAAAGGCCCAACCCAAACAGUUGACCCGUUCCAUCCCUUUAUUGAAACACUUUAAAUAUCAGAAGGCGGGAAGUGUUGGUAAAAUUGGAGGGAAUUUUGUUGCAGAUUUCAUUGAGACAACAGCCUGUUUGAUAAUUUGCCCCAGAGAGAAAGAGAAGAGAAAAUCAAAUUGAGGUCACGGGUUCAAGCAUUGGUAACAGCCUUUGGCAGAAAGGCAAGGCAAGACUGCGUGCAAUAGACCGUUGUGGCUUCUCAUACUAUUGUUUUAAGUGGGAAGGACCUUUUCGACGUGGCGUUGAUAUGAUCCCUGUUUAGCUAUUGUAUUGCUACAUCAAGAUCUGUCAGCUCAGAAAGAUGCAGUGACAACUUACACAAGUUUGUAAGAAUUGUCCUUCAAAUUGAUAGAUAAAGGCUGCAGGCGUGCAUACAACCAUGUACUCAACAGUUCCAGAAAUCCUUCUGCAAGUACUUGAAGCUGUGGCUGCAAGAGGGGGGAUGGAGACACUACGACCAGCAUUGCAGCGCGUUUACAUGACGAGCAUCGGUAUAUAAAGAUGCACUUGAGGUUUCAUAGUGGGAUAUGAAGAAGGUAUUCAACUAGUCAUGGAGAGAACGAGGACUCCAAAUUGCAUAAGGAGUAAGGACACUGAUGCACCCAAAGGACGAACUUGAUCUCUGAAUAUGUAGUGGGAAAAUGGGGGAAAGAGAUUAUAUCGGAAAAUGGUCAAUGUUCAGCUCAUUGAGGGUUUUGUUUACAGAAGUGAUUUGGCUUGACAUCAAUUGAACCUUAAUGUGUAAGGUCAAGACCAAACACAUAAGCCUAUCUAAUGUGCUUCCUCACCAAAUGCAUGUGGGGAGGGAGUUGUCAUUUGAGCUUUUCAGUUGCUUUUUGGAGUAAUUGGUGGCUUGAAGUUACAUCUGUAGUUAGAUUUCAAGUUUGGAUGGUGGAGGAGGCAGGAUAGACCAAAACAGGUCAGGUGAGCUAGGACUGGAUGUAAGAUAGUUGAAAAUGACUUCCACCCAAAUAUUGCCUUCUAUAUGGUACUUUAUACCACAUAGUAUGUGCAGCAGAUUCUAAAGCAGAUGUCAAGGUCUGUUGCCCGGUAUCUAGAGUCUCCUCUGAUAAAGUUCAUACAUCUCUUGCCAUCUUUAUUUGACGUGUCAUCUGGUCUCCAUUAAGAUAGUCCCAGCACUUGUAGUUCCGGACCCAUCUGUAACUGUUUGUGGGUGUUCUUUAUUAGGUAUUUGUUGGCGAGGUCAUGGAAUUGUCCGCUUGAUUGAAAUCUGUCAAGCACAUGGGUCUUCAUUUGAGCACAUUGUAAUAAGAAUCUUCUACCAUGUCCAAUAAAUUGUAGUUCUAUCAUCGUCGUGGAUCCUACAUAAAACUGAAUCAGGAAUUAUUCUAUGUUUCUUUAGUGUAUGUACUGAGAUUUUGGCCUUGUUCUCGUGCUGCUAGCUAGCUUCCAUUAUUUAUGCGCGAAAUAGUUGCAAAUACCGGUUUGGAGAAUACCAAGUCAUGUGAUUUCAUUAUCCUAUCUUAAAUUAAAGUGCUUAUAUUAAGAGUUGUCUUGGUACUUUGUCUUAGCUGAGCUUACUAUCCUUUUAAUUUAUCUGAUUAAAAAGACACAAUCUGAUACACUUGCAUGUAGAAAAUGUAAGAAAAUACUACAAAAUUUAGAGCUCGAGGAAAACUAAUGGGAGAAAAUGGUCCUUCUGUUAUUAGAUGUAUUUGUUACUGUGAUUAUUGACUACUGUUGUAAGAGGAGUCCCUUCAAUCUUGUGAUAAGCCACCACUUGCAGGAGCACUAAAAUUAUGGGAAAGUCCUUAAUAGAAGUCAAUGGAUUUUUUCUUGAUUUUUAAUGGUCCACUGUUGACAAAAAAGUAGUAAUACUUGUCUUCUUUUAAUCUUUUGGUUGAUUUAUUCAACUAGGCAUAGUGUCAAAUUCUACCAAUUCAUUUGCAACUUGGUGUUUUGAACAUGUGACCAGAAUGAAAAGACUGCAGCCUGUGCUACAUGGAAAGUGAUUGACAUGCUUCCAAAGUCGCAUUCAUUUUCAUUUGUUGUGCCUUUGUCCUCAUGCUCUUUCUAAAGUAAAUAAAUGCUGGGAUAGGUGAGG